GAUGAACGCUGGCGGCGUGCCUAAUACAUGCAAGUCGAGCGAACAGACGAGGAGCUUGCUCCUCUGACGUUAGCGGCGGACGGGUGAGUAACACGUGGAUAACCUACCUAUAAGACUGGGAUAACUUCGGGAAACCGGAGCUAAUACCGGAUAACAUGUUGAACCGCAUGGUUUAACAGUGAAAGACGGUCUUGCUGUCACUUAUAGAUGGAUCCGCGCCGCAUUAGCUAGUUGGUAAGGUAACGGCUUACCAAGGCAACGAUGCGUAGCCGACCUUAGAGGGUGAUCGGCCACACUGGAACUGAGACACGGUCCAGACUCCUACGGGAGGCAGCAGUAGGGAAUCUUCCGCAAUGGGCGAAAGCCUGACGGAGCAACGCCGCGUGAGUGAAGAAGGUCUUCGGAUCGUAAAACUCUGUUAUUAGGGAAGAACAAAUGUGUAAGUAACUAUGCACGUCUUGACGGUACCUAAUCAGAAAGCCACGGCUAACUACGUG
rnacentral:rRNA from 1 species